UCCCUACGGGGGGCAGCAGUGGGGAAUAUUGGGCAAUGGGCGCAAGCCUGACCCAGCAACGCCGCGUGUGGGAAGAAGGUUUUCGGAUUGUAAACCACUGUUCUUGGCGAAGAUAAUGACGGUAACCAAGGAGAAAGCUCCGGCUAACUACGUGCCAGCAGCCGCGGUAAUACGUAGGGAGCAAGCGUUGUCCGGAUUUACUGGGUGUAAAGGGUGCGUAGGCGGUCUUGCAAGUCAGACGUGAAAACCACAGGCUCAACCUGUGGACUGCGUUUGAAACUGUGGGGCUUGAGUGAAGGAGAGGG
rnacentral:rRNA from 1 species